UGAGACAGGCCCUCCCUCCGUUGCCCAGGUGGGAGUGCAGUGGUGUGAUGUCAGUUCACUGCAACCUUGGCCUCCCGGAUUCAAGCGAUUCUCCUGCCUUAACCUUCCGACAUGGAUCCCUGAGGUCGGUCCCCAAUACGACAAGACAAUUUGAUAUCAUAAUAGAACACUGCAGAAACAAUGCUGAGUGAAGAAGAGUAGAAAUGGGAAGACUUGGUUGAGCGGAAACUGAGUUCUUGAAAAGAGGAGAUGCUUGAUGAGGGCAUGGAUCCCUGAGGUCUGCCCCAGUACUAUAAGACAAUUUGAUGUAAGAAAACACAGCAGAUAUAAUACUGAGUGAAGAAGAGUAUAAAUGAGAAGAUUGGUUGUGCAGAUACUGAGUUCAUGAAAAGAGGAGAUGAUUGAUGAUAGCCAGGUGCGGUGACUCAUGCCUGUAAUCCCUGCACUUUGGGAGGCUGCGGCGGGCGGAUCACCUGAGGUCAGGAGUUCGAGACCAGCCUGGGAGACAGA
rnacentral:lncRNA from 10 species